GAUGAACGCUGGCGGCGUGCCUAACACAUGCAAGUCGAACGGAGAUUACGGACGGAAGUUUUCGGAUGGAAGCCUGUAAUUCUUAGUGGCGGACGGGUGAGUAACGCGUGGGCAACCUGCCCUAUACAGGGGGAUAGCAGCUGGAAACGGCUGGUAAGACCGCAUAAGUCGGUUAAUUCGCAUGAUUUGAUCGGGAAAUGAGCAAUCAGGUAUAGGAUGGGCCCGCGUCCGAUUAGCCAGUUGGCAGGGUAAAAGCCUACCAAAGCGACGAUCGGUAGCCGGACUGAGAGGUCGGACGGCCACAUUGGGACUGAGACACGGCCCAAACUCCUACGGGAGGCAGCAGUGGGGGAUAUUGCACAAUGGAGGAAACUCUGAUGCAGCGACGCCGCGUGAGUGAAGAAGUAUUUCGGUAUGUAAAGCUCUAUCAGCAGGGAAGAUGAUGACGGUACCUGACUAAGAAGCCCCGGCUAACUACGUG
rnacentral:rRNA from 1 species